AAAAAGAUGACAAAUUUGCGGGUGAAUUUGGUGCAGAUGACAAGGUCUUGUCUCUUAUCAAUUUACUGCUAGAUGCAGGACAUUUUGCUGGAAGGAAGGUUGAUUCUGCAAAUGCUUCAUCUUUGCCUAAGGAUCUUCAUGGUGCUCCUCCUGAAAGUUUUAUCACUAAUCUUGCUGAUGUAACUGGACGCAUGAAAUCAUUGCGUAAAAUGGCAUUAUUAUGGUGCAAAAUUGUUGCUGAAUUACGGAGGCUGUGGUCUGAAGGACAAUAUAUCCCUGGCAUUCCUCCAGAUCAAAUCCCGGACCUGAAUUCAUGUCUUUUGUAUCAGCAACUCCAGGUUAUUAACUGUUGCAUUUCCAGAAAAAAGCG
rnacentral:misc_RNA from 1 species